rnacentral:rRNA from 1 species
UUCAUCUGGCUCAGAUUGAACGCUGGCGGCAGGCCUAACACAUGCAAGUCGAACGGUAACAGGAAACAGCUUGCUGUUUUGCUGACGAGUGGCGGACGGGUGAGUAAUGUCUGGGAAACUGCCUGAUGGAGGGGGAUAACUACUGGAAACGGUAGCUAAUACCGCAUAACGUCGCAAGACCAAAGAGGGGGACCUUCGGGCCUCUUGCCAUCGGAUGUGCCCAGAUGGGAUUAGCUAGUAGGUGGGGUAACGGCUCACCUAGGCGACGAUCCCUAGCUGGUCUGAGAGGAUGACCAGCCACACUGGAAUUGAGACACGGUCCAGAUUCUUACGGGAGGCAGCAGUGGGGAAUAUUGCCCAAUGGGCGCAAGCCUGAUGCAGCCAUGCCGCGUGUAUGAAGAAGGCCUUCGGGUUGUAAAGUACUUUCAGCGGGGAGGAAGGGAGUAAAGUUAAUACCUUUGCUCAUUGACGUUUCCCGCAGAAGAAGCACCGGCUAAUUCCGUGCCAGCAGCCGCGGUAAUACGGAGGGUGCAAGCGUUAAUCGGAAUUACUGGGCGUAAAGCGCACGCAGGCGGUUUGUUAAUUCAGAUGUGAAAUCCCCGGGUUCAACCUGGGAACUGCAUCUGAUACUGGCAAGCUUGAGUCUGGUAGAGGGGGGUAGAAUUCCAGGUGUAGCGGUGAAAUGCGUAGAGAUUUGGAGGAAUACCGGUGGGGAAGGCGGCCCCCUGGACGAAGACUGACGCUCAGGUGCGAAAGCGUGGGGAGCAACCAGGAUUAGAUACCCUGGUAGUCCACGCCGUAAACGAGGUCGACUUGGAGGUUAGUGCUCCUUGACGGCGUGGCUUCUCGGAGCUAACGCGUUAAGUCGUCCCGGCCUGGGAUCGCCGCCCCCAUGGUUAAAACUCAAAGGAAUUUGACAGAAAAACCCGCACAAGCGGGGGUAACAUGUGGUUUUAACUUCGAUG